rnacentral:rRNA from 1 species
UAGUCAUAUGCUUGUCUGAAGGACUAAGCCAUGCAUGUCUAAGUAUAAGCAAUUUAUACUUGUGAAACUGCGAAUGGCUCAUUAAAUCAGUUAUAGUUUAUUUGAUAUUUUCUUGCUACAUGGAUACCGGUGGCAAAGUACCGCUAAUACAUGCAACCAACUCCUUUUGGGGUGUAUUUAUUAGAUACGCAAACCAACCUGGGCAACCAGAGUAUGCUGAAUCAUAAUAACUUCACGAAUCGCAUGGCCUUGUGCUGGCGAUGAAUCAUUCAAAUUU